ACUGGAAUCACAGUCAAAAUUUCCCAACAGCUGAAAGCCAUUCAGCAAUUAAGAAGGCUCUCGCCUAAAGAAAUAAAACACUAAGUCUGUAGCUUCAGCUCAGACUUCAGUACAACAAACACUGCUCCAGGAGAGUUUUGCCUAGUGCAGUAGUGCCCAACUGUUUGCAGGGACCAGGGUGGCUGACGUAUUUUUGGCCGUCUGGGGAUGCAGGAAGAAAAAGUUUGCUGCCCUCUAUCGAGUAUUUAUGGCCGACUGAAUAUAAUUCUAUAUCAUUUUUUCUACUGUUGUG